rnacentral:rRNA from 1 species
AUUGAACGCUGGCGGCAGGCUUAACACAUGCAAGUCGAGCGGAGCGAGGGUGCUUGCACCUUAGCUUAGCGGCGGACGGGUGAGUAAUGCUUAGGAAUCUGCCUAUUAGUGGGGGACAACAUUCCGAAAGGAAUGCUAAUACCGCAUACGCCCUACGGGGGAAAGCAGGGGAUCUUCGGACCUUGCGCUAAUAGAUGAGCCUAAGUCGGAUUAGCUAGUUGGUGGGGUAAAGGCCUACCAAGGCGACGAUCUGUAGCGGGUCUGAGAGGAUGAACCGCCACACUGGGACUGAGACACGGCCCAGACUCCUACGGGAGGCAGCAGUGGGGAAUAGUGGACAAUGGGCGGAAGCCUGAUCCAGCCAUGCCGCGUGUGUGAAGAAGGCCUUUUGGUUGUAAAGCACUUUAAGCGAGGAGGAGGCUACUUAGAUUAAUACUCUGGGAUAGUGGACGUUACUCGCAGAAUAAGCACCGGCUAACUCUGUGCCAGCCGCCGCGGUAACAC